UAAAUUCCAGAUAAGGUUGGUCAAAUGCGAACCUUGGACCUACUUAGUUUAAGAGACUGCCCCGGGCGGACACAGCUUUUGCUUUAACUUGGAUCGAACUUCAACUCCGUGAACACUUAUGUGUGUCUCUAAUAAACUUCCUAACAAGCGUCUAAGUGGACGCAGGCGGACGGAACCGGCUGUUUACGCUAGUUAACGACCGCUUCCAGCAUAUUAACCCAAACAUACCUCUAGUUCGGACAUAUCAAAGGUGUUCUAAAUGAGCGGCGUAGCGUGUGUGACGGUCAUACGGCGCAGGAAGCGACGUGCGUGGGUCGUGCAGACCACUUCCGAUACUUUGACAAACAGCCCUUAAGGUCGGAGGGUUAAAGGGUCCCAAAUAUAAAACAUCUGAAGAGUAAUACCAUGAUACGACAUACUUAGGUAUAGUUGAAAUUGCGUUUAAUUUAAAGGUAUUCAUUAGAAACGUG